AUUGAACGCUGGCGGCAGGCCUAACACAUGCAAGUCGAGCGGAGCGGCGGACGGGUGAGUAAUUCCUAGGCAUCUGCCUGGUAGUGGGGGAUAACGUCCGGAAACGGGCGCUAAUACCGCAUACUUUCAGAUGAGCCUUGGUCGGAUUAGCUAGUUGGUGGGGUAAAGGCCUACCAAGGCGACGAUCCGUAACUGGUCUGAGAGGAUGAGCAGUCAACCUGGAAAUGGAACACGGGACAGACUGCUAAGGGAGGCAGCAGUGGGGAAUAGUGGACAAUGGGGGAAAGCCUGAUCCAGCCAUGCCGGGUGUGGGAAGAAGGUCGUCGGAUUGUAAAGCACAUUAAGUUGGGGGGCGUUACCAACAGAAUAAGCACCGGCUAACUGCGUGCCAGCAGCCGGGGUAAUUC
rnacentral:rRNA from 1 species